rnacentral:rRNA from 2 species
UCUGACGGAGCAACGCCGCGUGAGUGAUGAAGGCUUUCGGGUCGUAAAACUCUGUUGUUAGGGAAGAACAAGUACAAGAGUAACUGCUUGUACCUUGACGGUACCUAACCAGAAAGCCACGGCUAACUACGUGCCAGCAGCCGCGGUAAUACGUAGGUGGCAAGCGUUAUCCGGAAUUAUUGGGCGUAAAGCGCGCGCAGGCGGUUUCUUAAGUCUGAUGUGAAAGCCCACGGCUCAACCGUGGAGGGUCAUUGGAAACUGGGGAACUUGAGUGCAGAAGAGAAAAGCGGAAUUCCACGUGUAGCGGUGAAAUGCGUAGAGAUGUGGAGGAACACCAGUGGCGAAGGCGGCUUUUUGGUCUGUAACUGACGCUGAGGCGCGAAAGCGUGGGGAGCAAACAGGAUUAGAUACCCUGGUAGUCCACGCCGUAAACGAUGAGUGCUAAGUGUUAGAGGGUUUCCGCCCUUUAGUGCUGCAGCUAACGCAUUAAGCACUCCGCCUGGGGAGUACGGUCGCAAAACUGAAACUCAAAGGAAUUGACGG